GAAAAGUGUUGUACAGCUUCAUCAGUGCUGCAUGCAUUUCUUGGUUUCCUUUUUUGCUGUGUGCUUCCCUCCAGCCUGGCUGUCUGUGUCCACCUGUCGACCCUGCUCUUAUAUUUCAAUUGAAUUUGCCAUUUGGAAAAAGGAAAAAAGAAAAAUGUUUAAUUAGAGAUGGAGCUAAAGCAGCUAAUUUGAUCUUCCAAUG